rnacentral:lncRNA from 1 species
AUAAAUCCUAAGAGGUACUAGGCUAAAAUUCAAAGAGAUAAAAGAGACUUGAAAGAAACUGCGGGAGUUGAAUUUAUAAAAUAUUUCAUUCACUUCAAUAACUCUAUAGUAACUGUUUUCAUUCAUAUUUUUCUUCUCAUUUCUCUUUUUUUCUUCUUUUUUUCUUCUUCUUUUCAUAAGGAGUAUGUAUUGGCAUGUAUACAUCCUUCUAUUUUUUUCAUUCAUUUUUUUUCUUUUCUUUUUCUACCAACUUCUGAA